GACACGCGGUAUGAAUCACAUCCUGCUUCAGUGAGCCUUUGACGAGAUGUUGCAGAAAACAGCGUGGGGGCCUGUGUGCAACUUGCUGUCACUCAGUGCUGGAGACCAGGGGCAGGAGGCCUCCAGAGGCUCCUUCCACACAGCGAGAAAAGAAGAAAGACUGAUGGUCGGGUCCCAGUGAUUCAAAAAGAAGAAAGACUGACGGCUGGGUCCCAGUGAUUCAAAAUUCAUUUUUCUAGCUCUGCAUCUACUCCUGGGAUAUGUGCUAGCUCUGAGGUCGACACCCUGAACUUCUGGGAUGCCAGGAAUGUGGGAUUCAGAGAGGCCAAUUCUUCUGGAGACAGUUCCACACCAAGGAUGCUUAGAGAAUGACUUUCCCAAGGACACAAUCCCUGUCUUCUAGGUGCCUGGACUCUCCAUGGAGCUGGUGCUAACAGCACAUGCUGGGUGCUCCUGAAACGAAGUUCUAGAACCCACAGCCAUCGAACAGGACUCUAGUGGAAAAGCAAUGUCCUGAACGUUUGCUUGUCUAUUUUUUGAGGCAGGUCUCCUGUCACCCAUGCUGGCCUUGGACUUACUAUAUAGUUAAGUAUGAUCUUGAACCUCUCAUGCUCCUGCCUCUGCCUCCUGAGUGUUGGGAAUAACUGGUGUGUUUCCUAAAAGCAAGACUGUUUCUUCAUA